rnacentral:tRNA from 1 species
UCCGAAUUGGUGUAGUGGCUAACAUUUGACGCUCUCACUGGCUCUUCUCCGAAGACUCCCAUUGUCCCGUCAAGCCCGGGGUUCGAUUCCCCGAUUCGGAG